ACCUUACGGGCGGGGACGAAGGCACACUCUGAACUAUGUUGAUCAUAGACCGACCCGCUGGCUGGCUUGCUAGCUGGCUGGCAUCAUUGUAAUCUAAUCAAGGUGAAGAGACCGACAGUCGAUGCAAUGAUCCCGUUCAAGGUUUCCUGACCGCAUAUGGGUUAUUGUUUUGUUUUAGUUGCGCGGUGAAUCCCGGAAGUGAGGUCUAAAACAGUUCUAUGGGAGUCGCCAAGGUGGAGACAAGUUGGAACAGUGAUGCCAGCUGAUUUUUCUUUUGAAUUUUGUCACAAAGUGCGAAACGUACAUUAUUUCUGACUAAGAGUACACCUAUAUCAGCAGUUAUGAGCGGAUGUCAUCCGGUAAUUGGGUUCUUUAGGGGUAUCUAGAUUAUUUCAUAAUCGGAAUCUCCACUUGGUAAGUUUGCCAACAGAUGACACUAUCUUGCGACGCUGUCAGUCAUGUUGUUACUUUUCCGUACGGAAUAAUAUGUCAAUUAUUUCGUACCAAAGACGUUGGAAUUUCCGGGGAAUUUAUCAAGGAGUUUCUCAGGAGUUUUUUUCCAUGAGUUCCUUGUAAAUUCUUUAAGGUAUUCCUCAGAAAUUUCUCCAGGAGUUCCUUGGGAAAACUUCAAGAAGUUCCACGAGAAUUCUUACAGGAGUUCUUCGGAAAUUUCCCCAAGAGCUCCUCGGGAAUUUCUAAAGGAGUUUCACGGGAAUACCUUCAGGAAUUCUUCUGAAAGAUCUCCAGGACUUCCUCGGGUAUCUCUCCAGGGGCUCCUUGGUAAUAUUCCCAAGAGAUUCCAGGCAUUUUUUCCAGAAGUUCCUAGGAAAUUGUUUUAUAAUUUCCUCCGGAAUGCCUCUUUAAAACUUCCCUAAGAAGUUCUCUGGGAAUUUCUCAAGGAGUUCCCCGGGCGUUCCUUCAGGAGUGUUUCUGGAUUUCUUCUAGGAAAUGCUUGGGAAGUUCUCCACGAGUUAGGAGAACCUUAGGAAAUUUUGCAGAAGUUCUACAUGAUUUUACUCAGAAGCUUCUCGGGAAUAUCUUCAGGAGUUCCUAAAAAAAUCUUUUAAGGAAUCUUCGAAAAACUCCUGGAGGGAUUCCUGAUGAAUUCCCGAGGAAUUUUCAAGGAACUUCUGGAGGAAUUCUCGAGGGACUGCUGGAGGAAUUUCUAAAGGGGUUCCUGGAGCAAUUUCCGACGAACGUAAGGGGAUCGAUUGUGAUUGGUAUUAUGCUAGCGGAGAUUUUCGGCUUCCAGUCUCUAUGUAAUCAUAAACGGAUAUUGGUUCAACACCUGACGUUUCGGUCACAUAUUGUGCCUUUUUCAAAGGAUAGAUACAGUCUCUCCGAUUACUCGUGAUGUUAUGUAUGUUAUGUGAUGUUAUGUACGUCUUCACUUCAGUGGUUGAGUUCGUUGGUUGGCGCACUUUUUCAAAUCUAUCAGUACGCCGCCGAUAAGAGGUAGAUCGUAGGAGGUAAAACAGAUCGAUACUGAUAGAUUUGAAAAAGUGCGCCAACCAACGAACUCAACCACUGAGACUGUAUCUAUCCUUUGAAAAAGGCACAAUAUAUGUGACCGAAACGUCAGGUGUUGAACCAAUAUCCGUUUAUGAUUACAAAGAGACUGGAAGUCGAAAAUCCCCGCUAGCAUAAUUUCCGACGAACUCCUGGAGAAAUUCCCGAGGAACUCCUGGAAGAAUUCCCGAGACAUUCCUGGAGGAAUUUCCGGUGACUUUUUGGAGCAGUUCUCGGAGAUUUCCUGGGGUAAUUCCCUAGGAACUCCUGAAGGAAUUCUCUGAGAACUCCUGGAAUAUUCUCGGAGAAUUUUUGGAGGAAUUUCCGGGGAACUUCUGGAGAAAUUCCCGGAGAACUGCAAUAACUCUUGAAGUUAUUCUCGGAGAACUCUUGGUGAAAUGUUCGGGGAACUUCUGGAGGAAUUCCCAGGAAACUCCUGAAAAAAAAAAAAAUCCCAGGGAACUCCUGGAGGUAUUCCCGAAUAAUUUUUGGAGGAAUUACGGGGAACUCCUGAAGGAAUUCUCAGGACAUUCCUGGGGAAGUUCUCGAGAAACUCCUGGACGAGUUCCGGGGGAACUAUAGAGGAUUUGUUUUGUGUGAAACUUGUGCAAACAUUUGUGGGGAACUGCUGGAUGAAUUUCCGGGCAUUACUAGGGGACUUUUAAGAAUUAUUGCGGGAGGAAUUCGUGGGGAUUUUCUAGAAAUAUUUCGUUGAAUUCUUGGAAGUAUUCCUGGGGAAGUCAUGGAGGUAUUCCCGGGGACUUCUGUCUUGGCUUCUGUAGGAAUUUUCAAGGAACUCCUACAGGAAUUAUCGUAAAACUCUUGAAGGACUUCCAGGGAUAUUUGUGGAUGAACUUCUGUUUAGAUUCUGAAGAAAUUCUCAGGGUUAUUACGGAGGAAUUUCCGGAAAAGUGUUAUACAUUCUUGGGGAACUGCUUGAGACAAAUUUAGAAUCAAUUCUCAGCAAUAUCUCAGAAGGAAUUCUGGAAGACUCUAGGAGGAAACCCACAAAUUGCUUCAGGAAGAAUUUCAAAAGAAACUAUUGUAGAAAUUCCUAAAGAAACGACUUUAAGAAGCUCUUGAAGAAUUUCAUAAGCAUAACAAAAAAAAAACUGAAGCUUUCCCAGAAGAAGGGUAAAAAAUAACUCUAACGCCAAAGGAUGGCCAAGGAAUUCCACAAGGAUGAAUCCCACAUAGAACUCCUGUAUGAAUUGCACAUCAGCAUCGUUUCGUUAAAAUGCUGUCAGUUAAACAAAUGUCAAAAUCACUUACGGAAAAAGGAGGAAUUUUACUUGAGCGCUCUACUUGAGAACAGGAAACUUACCAUUAGUCGAAAUUUGAAAUUAGAAUUGCUACCUUCCCGCCCAUUACCAAAGCACAGACACUUGGGACUAAGAAAGGUAUAUGUAGACACCUGAGGUGUCACGGGAAUUUAAGUGUUGUUAGUGUAACGGUUAAGUCCAAAGGAUACGUUUGGUCGAUUUUUAGGUGCCACAACAAUAUACAGAAACAAACUCACCAAAUUUUACGAAUUCCAGUACUCUCGAGAUGAAUUUGUUGACUUCCAUUUGCAUCUUCCGGACAUCCAGCGGCCAUAACAUCAAACAUUACACGGAAAUCACGCGAAAAUGAAAACGAAUUCUGGCAACCUCGAUGGGUAUACGACAAACUCUCACAACAAUAGCGAGUUAUCCUACUCAACAGUUCGUGAUCCGCUAAAUUAUCAGGCAAGAGAAACUUGUAGAACACCGAACAUCCAUUUGCAAGCACUUUCCGAGGUAAAAUUUGCUGAAGGCAUAGCACCACCAGCCAUUUCUCAAUUCGGCUGAGCAAAUUCAAAACAACGCGAAGCAAAGAAAACGCGCGAUAAUUUUGUAAAUGCAGCCGUUCGCGCGCACCGCCUGCUGCGAUCCAUCGCGAUUUCUCCUUGAAUUUCUUCAGAAUUUCUGUGGUUUUUUUUUCAGGAAUUCUUAGGGAUAUUAUUCCAGAACUUGCUCUGGGGGUUGCUCCAAGGAUUGCGAUAGAAAUUCCUUCAGAGAGUCCUACAGGGAUUCCUCCAGGAAUUGCUCUGGGGAUUCCUCCAGGAAUUGCUCUAGGGAUUCCUCCAUGAGUUCCUGCUGGGAUUUCUCCAAAAAAUUCUGAUGGGAUUGUGAUAGGAGUUUCUGUAGCGCUUACUGUUGGAAUUGCUUCAGCAAUUAAUACUAAGACUCCUCCAGGAAUUCUUCAAGGGGGUCCUGUUUAGUUUCCUUCUGGGUUUUUCUCCAAGAACUCCUGCGAUUUCUUCAAUAAUUCUUCAAGGCAUUCUCCCAGAAAUUUCUGUAGCGGUUGCUCAACUAUAGAGAUUUCUACAGGGAUUUCUGUGAGGAAUCCUCUAGAGCAGGAUUCCCACAGGAAUUCUUUUGGGGAACCCUAUUCAGAUUUCUACAGAGAAUCUUCUAGGUAUUCUUACUGAGUUGUUUUCGGAGAUUUCUUCUGCAAUUCUUCCAGGAAUACUUCUAUGGAUCUCUCCAUGAUUUAUCUAUGUUUUUCUUCAGGUAUAUUUCCAAGAAUUUCUUUCGGUAUUCUUCUUGGAAUCCGGGUUCCGUGUUGCUGCUGGGACUACUCCAGGUAUUGCCGUUAGAAUGUCUUCAGGAAUUCUUGCUGCGACUCCUCGAGCAAUCCUUGCUCUGAUUCUUCCAGAAAUUCCCCCUGAGAAUCCUUCAGAAAUUCUUCCUGUGAUUCCUCUAGGGAUUUCCGUAGACAUUCCUUCAGAGAAUUCCCCAGAGAUACCAACAGGAAUUUCUCUAGGGAGUCCUCUCGAGAUUGCACGAGUUCAUCUAAGGAUUCCUCCAGAGUUUACUUCUGAGGUUUCUCCAAGAACACCUCUAUGGAUCCCUCCAGGGAUUUCUCUAGAUAUUCCUCCAGGCAUUUCUGCAAAGAUUUCUCCAAGAGUUCCUCCAGGGAUUUCUGGACUUAAGAUUUCUCCAAGACUAAUGAUAAGCAUUUUAGGAAUCGUUGUUGGUUGUUGAAAUGGCUGUUGAAGUCGCGAAGUUUAGUAUAAGGAACGUUACUUAGCUCUAUUGCAUUUUUGGCAUGAAGUUCUAUGUCUCCGAACGUUAUUUCAGAUAUUCCUGACAUUGCAGAUUUCCUGUCGAUUUAUCGAACACGUUGGAGCCCUAGACCAAUGUGGUCAGUGAAAGAAUUACAUAUACAAAUCCGAUGAUCCGUUUCGCAUGAGGACGUUUGGUACAAUGCGAAUCAUGUACGCGACCUGUUUUUGUGUAAAAUGGGAUUACGUGAAACCGAAGACCACUUUAUCAAGAAGACUUGCAGCACUGCCGAAAAUCGGGAGUCACUGUUAGAAGCGCUACCUCGGGUGAAGGUGGCCUAUUAAUUAUAGUGUGUGUAAAUCUUCAUACUCGCACCAAUACACUCUUACACUUUUAUACAAAGGUAUUACCUUAGCUCAACAGGCGGCGGUGCCGUCGGUGACGCUUGCCGUUAGUAUGGGAAAAUAACAGAGUUCCAUGUCUACUUGAUAAAGAAGUCUUCGGUGAAUCGUUCAUUAUGCCGAAUGUCCUUAUGCGAAACAGCUUUAUACGAAAUGGGUCACCCUUCUUCCCUCAUUUGUGCUCCUGUAAAACCUUUGGAUUUCAUCAACAAACUUGUCAUUAAAAAAAUCCAGAAAAACUGCGGGCCAUCGAGUCUUCCUUGACCACUACCGUCCGCCGCGUCGGUUAAGAUGUGGUAAUAAACUGCGAACAAGUGUGCUAAAAGUGUCAUAAAUCAAUACACGAGAGGAGUACCCGCGAUGCACGAUGGUACUAUGCGUCGGGUUUCAUACAGGCGGUACCUGCUUUGUUGUACAGAUUCUGUCAUAAUUUAUACGUUUACAGCAGCCUACUCUGAUCCAUUCGAAGGGCGCAUGAUGAACCAUGCUCAAUCGCUUUGGCUCAAUCUUUGCAUUGAAUGAUUUGUCGCAUCAUCACAGAGUUGCGUCCGUGAGACGCGGGAUAUCUCGGAACUAAAUAACGCAUCCGGCAGCCUGUAUCGAAGUCAACUUGCGAGUGGGAUGUGUCAUCCCAAACGUGUAAUUUGGGGAAGGCCAAUCGUACGCGCGCAAAGAUGUCGUCGCGCCGCGCCGGCCGUGUAGUAAAUAAAUAGUGCAAAUUCCGAGGGUCAAACAAACACGAAUUCUCGCACGGGGAUCAUUCUUUCGAACCGUCUGUCUGCAGGUACGAGCCCGGUGGGGACGAUGGAUGAUUCACCAUCAGACGAUGGUAGUUAGUAAACGAUUACUCUAAAAUUAAAAUCGCCUCAGUUGAAUAUGCGCGGACUGGCCCGUUUCGAGGUUUGACCACAGACGACAGACUGAUGGGUUUUUGGUGGUAUUGACAACGAGAAGUUGUUUUACAUUUGAAUUUAAAUUGCCUUUGAUAAAUUUUCGUAAAACGUGCGAAACUAAGACGACACAACAUUGAUAAACGGUAAACGAGAAUAAAAAGUUCAUCUGGGUUCAUCCAAACAACUUAUUGAUGUACUAUGAUUCCUUUGUUUUAGAAUGAUAGCAUUAGCAGUAGCAUCGUGGUGGCGCUGCGAUCUGUAAUGCAAGGGGUGACUGUGAAACUUGUCAAGUAGAAUCUUUCAGAUUCACCACUGCACACAGCGAAAAAAACCAAAGAAACUCAUCAAAAUACCUUAUGGUUUUUUUUGCCAUAACUCAACUGUAUGGAUGCCAUAAGAAUAUCUUAUGGAACCUAGUUUUCAUAAGUUAUCCUUAUGGCAUGGCAUAAGAAAAUCUUAUGAAAAUGAGUUUUAAUAAGAUUUUCCUUAUUUCAUUCAUAGUUUUGUGGUGGAUUGCGUGGUUGCGUGCUUCGCUUUCUGACAGUUGAACUAGAAGUGUUCUGAAUCUUGUGCUUAGCCUACUUGAUCACGCUCAACUACCACAUCUCCUUUUCUUUAUAAUUGAAUGAGCUUUUUAUAUUUAUUCAAAAUGGUGUUUUGUUUCAACGAUUUGGCUUGAGAACGGGUCAACGGAUCUACAUAUAUUUUUUUACUAGAGGGUCUUUAUUAUGUCAUGCCCUCACCGACCAACCCGAGGUUGUCCGUGAGGGUCUUUAUUCUGUCAUGCCCUCACCGACCAACCCGAGGUUGUCCGUGAGGGUCUUUGUUCUGACAUGGUCUCACCGACCAACCCGAGGUUGUCUGUGAGGGACUUUGUAUAGGAUCCGCCGGAUGUGAGCUUGCAAUUUCAAGUUUCACUAGCUGACCCCGGCAAACUUUGUCUUGCCUACUGCGUUUUUUGACGUUUCAAGUCUUCAGCCAAGACCAAGUCCCCGUUCAAAAUGUAUGAAGAAUGGAUUUUCAAAAACUCUCGAUUUCUCCAUGUUUUAUGGCUCAUAAACCUUCCUUGGGUGAAAACUAACAGAACAAAGCUAAGACGACCCAAAUCGGUCCUUCCGUUCUCAAGUUAUGCGCGGUCCCACGUAUGCCACUACAUUUUAUAUAUAUAGAUUGGUAAAUCUUGCCGCGGUAGAAGGUCUUGUACGGAUGGAUUCCCUCGUAGGCUAGUUGGUGGAAUUUGCAUGCCAAACCAGGUCAGACUUUUCUUCACAUUUUCGUUUAAAUCGUCCUCAUCUUGAUGCGAAUUUUCAUCAUCUUCGAUUUGUUAUAACUUCUUCAGCAUUUUCUCCAAGAUACCAUCUUCGUCAGCCAUUUGUGGUGGGUUGCGUGGUUGCGUGCUUCGCUUUCUGACAGUUGAACUAGAAGUGUUCUGAAUCUUGUGCUUAGCCUACUUGAUCACGCUCAACUACCACAAGUUUAAUUAUAGCAAGAAUCUCAUGAAUUGCCUAAGGUUUUUUAGUUACGUGUGUGGUAUGUAGUUGUUGAAAUAUUCUUAAACAUAUUUUCAUUCAAAUUCAGCUUAUUUUUUCGAGGAAAAUUUAUUCUACCUUUUCAUUCUCUAUUCUCUAUGAUCCAUUCGAACAGUAGAUUAUUCACCACGUACAAUCCUGGGUCAACUAGUAGUCAAUUAGUAUCGUAUCGUCUGAUCACACCAGAAGGUGCUGCGCGCCUUUUAUUGGCCGAAAAGUGAAAUUUAGCAUUACCAGUCCAAAGGUGAUUAAUUUUGCUUAUUAGGGCAUCUUCCAACAGCAACAACGGUGCACAAAAGCCGCCGCCGGUCGUAAAUUGCACGUUUAACUGCAAAUUGCCACUUGCAGUCAGACCUUUCAGGCGUUUAUCAUACCAGAGGAGCAGGAUAAAUUGACAAGCCCGUCUUCGGAGGAACGGGUUUUUGCAAAAUUAUGACAUUACGAAUCAGUUGCAUUUUGGUAAUUUAGUACAUAGUGUGAAUUGUGGCGUUCAGAAAGCUAUGCAGAGUAAUUCAAUUAAAUCGAGAAAAAAUCAACAAGGAUAUCCAGCAAUCUACGAGCGCCAAUGGCCGCCACAAUCAUGCUGGCUUUCUAGCAGGGAUAGCAUGAUCUGACGUUUGGCUUGUGUCGUUUGACAGCUGAUUGAUAAGAUUUACGAUCGUCAAACGACGCACGAUAAACGUCAGAUCAUAAUAUCCCUGCCAGAAAGCGAGCAUUAUUGUGGUACCCAGAGAUGCUCGAAAAUUGCUGGAUAAUUCUGAGCAGAAAAGUCAUGAAGAUAAAUAUAUUUAAGACUUUUAGAGAUGUCAAUACUAUUGAAAGGAUCCAAGAUCGCGGAAGAAACUUAGAGAUUCUCGAGAUAAAUUCCAAAUUUUUAACAUAGGGUCUGUGACCAUUUGGGCCGGGGGGCCUAUUUACUGCUAUAACUCAGUCAAUUUUGAACCAAUUGACUUGAUUUUUGGGAUACGAUAAGAUACGCACAGUAUCUAAACAUGUGCAAAAGUUCAUGUAAAUUGGUUUGAAAUUGACUGAGUUAUAGCAGCAUGUGUCCAAAAAAAGCCCUCCUGCCCAAAUGGUCCCAAGGGUCUGGGUCUAUCAUAUGCUUAGAAAAUACGACGCAGAAACUUAGAUUUAUCCAUUUAUUUCAAUUUAAUAUUCCACAAGAAUGCUUCAAUACAAAAAAAAAGCCUGUUUACAAAGACUAAAGAAGUUGAGAAUGCAAAAUCAGUCACAUCAAGAACCUGUUCUCCCACUGACUGGAUACCCAGGAGAUUGCAUUCAAUAUCUCUGGAAAUGACGCGUUGAUCGCUCCCAAAAAUGUCCCACUAAUGGAGUUGGUAAACGAUAACAAAAAAAACGGCUCAUUCAGGGUCAUUACACAAAUUUGCAUGGAUGCAUUCUGCAUCCGCGUUUGCCGAAACUCGACGAGCAAUGCAAUAAACGUCUUUAUAAAUUGCGCACCAAACAGGUUCGGGGCACCGGGGUGAUCAACGCCUUCAUAACGGGGACCGACGACCGUCGUCACCGUGCAAGCAAAUUGUGUGCACUUUAGGAGAAGUGACGGUGGUGUCGCAACGGGUGACAGCCUCCUUCCUUCCCCUCUGGCCAUAAUUCCUCGAAGACAAACCUCUCCAAUCUCCAUCAAAGUUUGCCGCUUUCCGAUCAAGGUGGAUUGAGUUCAUUAAACCAGUAGGCGGAUUCCGGUUCUUUGGGACAUUUUUGUGAGUUUUAACUUUACUUCAUCACUUUGUUGGAACAAGAAAGAGUUGAAAGAAGUUCACUAAAGGCCAGUUUAGACCAAGCGACCAACACGGUGCUUCUAGACUCUAGAAGGAUUCCCGGUGGAAUCCCCUCAGGAUUCCCGGUGGAAUCCCGUCAGGAUUCCGUGUGGAAUCCCGUCAGUAUUCCGAGUGGAAUGCCGUCAGGAUUCCGAGUGGAAUCCCUUCAGGAUUCCCGGUGGAAUCCCGUUAGGAUUCCCGGUGGAAUCCCGUCAGGAUUCCCGGUGGAAUCCCGUCAGGAUUCCCGGUGGAAUCCCGUCAGGAUUCCCGGUGGAAUCCCGUCAGGAUUCCCGGUGGAAUCCCGUCAGGAUUCCAAAUGGAAUCCCGUCAGGAUUUCGAAUGGAAUCCCAGCAGGAUUCCGAAUGGAAUCCCAUCAGGAUUCCCGAUGGAAUCCCGUCAGGAUUCCGAGUGGAAUCCCGUCAGGAUUCCGAGUGGAAUUCCGUCAGGAUUCCGAGUGGAAUCUCGUCAGAAUUCCGAGUGGAAUCCCGUCAGGAUUCCGAGUGGAAUCUCGUCAGGAUUCCGAGCACGCAAAAUCGGCUACGCUCAAAAAUGUGUUCGGCCUGCACAUUUUUAGUAAAUAUCCAUGCCGCACAUGACUGUGUUGGAAACACACAUUUUUUUAAAAUUGCUCGUACGCUCACAUGAGCAUGUAUUUUGCAAUAAUUUCGACAUGGUAACCUCACUGGGUUUAUAAACCACCUUCAAAUACCGAAAAAUAUAGAUAUUUUGCAAAAAUGUGAGCGUACGAGCAAUUUAAAAAAAUGUGUGUUUCCAACACAGUCCCUGUGCGGCAUGGGCGCUACUCAAAAAUGAGAGCUUUUAUUUUAGAGAGAGUGGAAUCUCGUCAGGAUUCCGAGUGGAAUCCCGUCAGGAUUCCGAGUGGAAUCCCGUCAGGAUUCCGAGUGGAAUCCCGUCAGGAUUCCGAGUGGAACCCCGUCAGGAUUCCGAGUGGAACCCCGUCAGGAUUCCCAGUCAAAUUUAACGAAAUCACUUCAAUGAAUUUUCCUUAACAUGUAGGUACUUAAUGAACGCUGGCUAAUGAUCAGCUCAUUUGCAAAAACGAAAACAUCAUUUUUCUACGGAGAAUGGUGGUCAUCGCACCGCCUCAUCCAUCACCAUUGACCAUCAUCGUUCCCAAGAGUCUUCGUGUGAGCUGGUUUCUGUUUGCUUCGAUUCGGGAUGAUUUCGCACUCAUUCACGUCACCUCGCCAACUUGGAUUGUCGCCUUUUGUCGAUUUCUUCGCCAUCGUCGUCGCUUCAUUGAUCCGAGCAUCCGCCGAGCAAGCGAGCGAUCGCGGUUGAGGAGGCGGACGAAAACAACUCGCGUCGCAACGCUCUGCCCGCCUCCUCUUCUAUCUCGGCAGCUAGCGACUCGACUCGACUCGGCGCAGCUAGGGAAGAUCAUCCCACGCCCUCUGACCGACUUCAUCCGAAAACGAGUAGAAGUUCGCCUCGUCGAAAAGGUUUUUCAAAAUGCGCGUGCGAUUUCCGAUUCGGCUUGCUCGUGUUUGAGAGAACAAUGAAUCGAUCGCCGAAUUGAAGGUGUGCGAUCUUUGCGCGACAAUAUAAUUUAGCGAUCGCUCGGCCGGCGAAUCCGAAUGACAAAUAUUAAAUAACUAUUUCAAAUGGAUGGUAAUCAAUUGGAGCAAUCGCGUGGGGUGUGGUUGACAUUGAGGAGAUAAGUUAUCUUCUGUCACAAUUGGAAGUGGGCGGAAAUCGAUCCUUAAUUGGAGCAAUUCCACUUGAAAAAAUGAUUUAUUUUUAUUGUUUAUGGUUGUAGUGGAAUUGACACAUUUAUAACGAAGUAAACAAGUAGUAAUUGCAUUCAGCGGGGUCUAUUGAAGUGGAAAACUUGUUCUUAUCAGGCGUGUCGGAUCUAGACUAUAUUACAAUUUCGUCACUUUGCUGGAUCUACUGCAUCCUAUUGUAGAUUGUAAUAAACGAUCGGUUUAAUUAGAUGCAUACCUACGUAGAACACGUGCCGCUUCUCACAGCCGCCCUUCCCAGUCUUAACCAAUGAGGAAUAGGAAAGGUCAUCAAAGUCACCGUCGUAAAAAGGGUCGAGUGAUCUCCGAUAGAUCGAUAAAUUAGCAAAUUCCAGAUCCAGAGAUCGCCCCGACGCAGUUGGCGUUGAUUCAAGAUUUUCCGCGAUUGCACACACACAUCCCCACAUACAAACAUCGCGGCGUGAUUAAUUGGGUCUGACACUUGGCAGCGGCCUACUAUACCUACAUAUGUGUACACCUAGAACCGUUUGUAACCUUCGCGUCUCUAGGGCGAAUAUAUUUCUGUCCACACUCAACCCAAAACAAGUGUGGGUGCCCAAUAAAAUUCUCGUCCGCCGUCACCGACACACGCCAAGAAAAACCUUUUGAACGAAACGUUCUCUCGAAAGUGAAAAUAGAUUAUACUUUUCCGCACACCUCUUCACUUCCUCUUUCCCAUCAAAAGAUCUAUGAAAUAAACAAACCAUUUUGGCUCAAUCUUUGAGGGGGACCCUUUCAAGAAAAAGAACGAUCAUUACUGUCGUCUCAAUUUGGCCGCAGUAAACCACCAGGUUGAUUUAUCGCCUUGACAACGAGGCAACGAGAUUUCCCGUUCCCGUACAACAGGUAGGUAGAUCAGCAGAGACCAGAUUCGAUGAUCGGACGAAGGCAAGGCCAAGGUCAACGGAACACCACGACGGUUUUGGCCGCACAUUUGCGCUUGCGGCACGUGAGUGUGUCCAAUUGAAUUAGGCGUUACUAAAAGCUUGGCAGGCAGCAGCUGUGACAGUUUGCGUCAUGGCGACGGAAGGGGUUUCAUGGAUGCAGAAUUUGUGUCAAAUACAUAUUUUUAAGGAAAAAGUGUUGUUUACAUGCAUGUUUUAUGCCUCAUUCACUGUCGUAUCUUAAGGUUGAGCUCGAUUGACCGCCUGUAGAUGUCACUCCACUAUCUGCAGACCAGCUACACUCACACAAGAAAGUAAUGAGAUAGUUGCUUGACACUAACAGGCAUCUCCAAUGUGUGAGUGUUGGUGAACUCCAACUUUUAGGCGAGAAUGGCGCCUGCUACGUCAGGCUGCUGGUCUAUGUAGGAAAAGGGAAAGAAGUGAUGAUUGCAAUCACUGCGUUUGCGAAAGUUCAUGCAGAUUUCGAGUGUUGUUGGUAAAUGUUCAUUUGGAAGAGGGUUCACGUUCGGUACAUGGAUGUCAAAGAUAGCUCAAUACUGAGCUUUUGAUCUCGUGCUGUGUUUAGUCCGGUUCUAAAUUUACAAGCAUUUCGCUCAUUCAGCCAACAUUGUAUACGAUCAAGGCAGUCACAGCCUAUUCGCAACAAACCGCGUAUCUCGUUCACAUUUCAUCCAAGUAAUCGCCCAAUCAACGAUCACCGGAUCGAACUGGCCGUGCCGUUGCCAACAGCAACGACACUUUUCCAUCAUCAUCAUCAUAGAAGGUAAACAUGUUUUCACAUAUUUUUCCCUUGUUUGUACACCCUCGAACGCACUGAAAAAUCUCCCAUACUCUUUAUGGGGGUCCCAAUACUCGAUCUGUCGAACGGAGAGCGCGAUUGGAUUGGGGGCCACCACUUUCCUUCGCUUAUCUGGUUGGUCCCAGUCACACCGUCGACCAGCGAGCGUCGACGACGACGAGAGUGUGAUCCAUAAUGGGAAAUGCUGUACCUACUACAGUGUGCUCCCCAUACUGACAUCAAUAGCCAUUUUAAGCGCGAGAGAAGCCUUCGCGGGAAUGUUUCCACGAACAAUCCCCGGGCCCCGGGUCCGAUUGAAAGUUCGUUGCUUUGAUUCCCCGGACUGAACCGAACCGGUAAGGUUCCUCCUUGUCUCUCGGAGGCAUGUUGGCAAAAAAGUCCCUAACUGAUAGAAAGUGGAUUGAAUUAUGCAGAGAUUUCUUUUUGUCUAAGAAUUCGUACAGUGAAGACCUCAGCAUAUCUAUAAUCAACGGUUAAUGAGGGCACUUUUUUGGAGAAGAUCUGGAAUUGGUUUUACGAAUUCCCUUGAUCUUGAUAGUUAUCUCUUUUCUAUUGGCUUAUAGGGCAUACAUUCGGCCAAUAUAUAGCUUGUCAGCUGUACAAGAGCACAAUUUCAACAUAAAAGGCGAAUAUCAAUGAAACUAAAUCAAUCAAAAUUAGAGCGAGCAUAUUGGAAGUGAUUUUUUAUGAUUUUGUAGCUGGAAAGUCGACUUAUUUAUCGAGGGAUUUCGGUUUUCAGCCAAAGAAAAGCGUUGAGUUUCUUAUCUCAUCGUCAACGUUUCGAUCCAGAUGUUGGAAUCUUCUUCAGGGCAUACGGUUCAUUCAUUUAUAGUAAGGAUCUACAAACUAUAUCUAGACUACACUUACUCGAAAUGAAUCAAUUUGUCUGAUCCUGUGUAUUGAAUGGUUUGCUGAAUAUAAUACACCGCGGCCUUUGUAAUGUUCCAAACGCGCAUUUGCACGAACUUCCACGCGGCAAAUCCUCUUGGAAACGAAUAGCCGCACUUGAGCAAACGCCGCAAUGUUAUCUCCCAUUAAGAAUGGAGUAAAAGGGGAGCAAAAAACGCGGCUGUUCCUUUCCUCAGGGAUUUGCCGCGUGUACUUUUGGGCAAAUGCGCUAAUACAUCUCAAGAUUGAUUGUCGCGUUUUGAUAUGGCAUUGCACAAAUCUCACUGUGGAUUUUAAGCCGUUAGAGAAGUAGUUUGGUACAUAUCACCAGGUGAACUCUGAUUCAACCAGCCGGUACGAACGCAGCAACAACAACAUCGUCAAGAGACUGUACGCACUACAGCUGAUAGAUGCCCGAACGAAACACAGACUCACAAGCUAAAACGCUGUGUGUCCUCGCAUAUACGGGCAGCCGAAAGCGCACAAGCUGAGCCUGCUAGUUGUUCUCAACCCAACAUCUCCAACGUACCAUUUGAGUAAGUUCAUAGCUGAUAUACUUCAAAAUUCUUUCAAAAGUCAGUAUAAUGCUGUCGACUCAAAAACGUCGUUGUUUACCAACGGACAUCGUUAUUGAGAAUCUGUUGACGAGAGCAUUAUGCGCUGCUAACAUUCCUCCCUAAUUUACUAAUCUAAUCUAAUCUAAUCUAAUCUAAUCUAACACAUGCGCAGCCAGUACAAGAAAGCAUCCUGGAAAAUAAUCGGGUUAGAUUACGCCCGAUUAUUUUUCUUGUCAAUAUUGAUAAUUGCAGCAUAUCGAAAAUAUGACACAAGCAUCAAAGCGGCCAGGCCUACUGCGCAGCGUUUACCGCAAAGAUGAUUCUUUGAAAUGAUUCGAUUUCAAUGAACAUUCAUUUUAAAUCGAAACACUUCUCGAAUCUACAGGGGAGGAAGGAUGCGUGGACAUACCGUACCAAACGCUCCGAGAUUUAGAUACAGUGACCCCACAAUUUAUGAAUCGGCAAAAAUGACCACAGUUUAUGGAUCACUCCAUUUGAUCAUCAUGGUGAUUCUUAAAUAGUGUACGAAAUUUAAGGUGAUUCAUCGGUGUGGGGUCACUGUAUAUGAAGUAAGGUAUUUUGUUGUAUAAAUGGAUGUUAAAAUGAGAAAUGAAGCAUGAAACGUUCUCACCGAAUUUUGUUAAUUCAUCCGUGGAUCCACUUGAGGAAUGAAACUUUCUACGUUCCGAGGCCCACGUCACUAUGAGAAGACACAUCCGAUUCGGCCAAACCAAAACUCGCGCACGGCGUCUUUGCACUAACUCAAAAUCACUGCACUAUCGAAAUCUCCAAAAGUACCACUCGUCAUUUCACAAUUGACUCAACAUCCAACACAAAAGUCUGCGGAUCACUUGAUACCACAAAACCCACGACAUCUAUCAUUCGAAGUCAAUAUCUGGGUGGCAUAACACCAAACGGUUCACCAACAGCGAUCAAUGAAAACCCCUUUUUUCAUUUUCGACUGGCAGCCUUCAAACACGAUGCAGGAACUGAUCGCACCCGACCCUGCACCAAAAGCACUACCGAUCACGAAACGUGCAGCACACAGUCCUGUGGACAACAAGUGGACAACGCAAAUCACUCCGGAUGAUAAAGCGUCGGUGAUAGUAUAUCACGAAAACGUCACAGAACAAGAACGCGAAAAAAAUCGUGUCAAGCAGAGAUGGCAUUUCACCGUAGCGAUCUAACAUUCCUCCCUAAUUUACACGUAAAUAUGUGAACGAUCUGUUGCUUGUGCUUCAUAAAGAUCAAGGUAAGUGUGUUUACAUCCAAGGUGGAGGUCAACUGUCAACUACCCUCAGUAAUAUUCAAUCCCUCAGUAAUGUUUGAAUAGUUGUUAGCUCUGGCAGUGUUCGCAAAUGCCGUGACUCCUGGUGAAAAUCUCCCAUUUUGUACCACCCACCGUGCUGGCAGUAAAGUAUAUAGCCUUAUAUCCAGUGUUCGCAAAACUACUUCUCUAACGGCUUUGAAUCCACAGUGAGAAUUGUGAAGUACCAAAUCAAAACACGACAAACAACCGUGAGAUGUACACGGAAUCAGACAAAUUGAUUCAUUUCGAGUAAAUGUAGUCUAGAUGUAGUUCGUAAAACCUUCUUAAUUAAACGAAUAAACCGCAGGCCCUGAAGAAGACCCAACAUCUGGAUCGAAACGUUGGCGAUUAGAUAAGAAAAUCAACGCUUUUCUUUGACUGGAAGCCGAAAUCCCCCGAGUAACUCUUCCCAUUGGUUGUUUGUCUGGGGAUUUUGAUAAGUAUUCCUAAAAUUUCUCCUACAAUUUCCCCAGGAGUUUCUUGUAAGAUAUCUCGAGGAAAUAUUGGACUUCAUUUCCUGGAAGAAAAAAAAAUGGGAUAAACAGAAUAGCGAUUAAUUUAUGGAAAUACACGGUGUUUAUCCUAAGAUUUCUCUGGAGGUUCUCCCAAGCAUUCCUGUAUCAGUUUCACCCAUGGAAUUCUCCUAUUUUUUCAAAGGUUUUUUUUUCAGAAAUUCAUAGAAUAGUUUUUUGAGGAAUUUCUGGAAUAAAUCUCAAAGAAAGUAUGUAUUGGUUGUGUUUUAGUGUGUCAUUUUUUUCUCAUGGAAUUUCUAAUCUUUAUUGAAAUUUCUAGAAAGAAUGAGGUUUCCUAGUGGUUUCUUCGGAACGAUUCUUCCAGGAACUCAUUCUGCGAUUUCUUCCAAUUUCUUUCUAGGGUUUCCUCCAGGUAAUAUUGUUCAAUAUUUUUCCCAGGAUACCUACUACGAGUUUUUAUAUACUUUCUCAGAAUCAGAAAGUGAGUGACAAGCAGGGCGCGGAGGCUGAAACAUGCCGCAUUUCGUCGUUCCCGCGUUUUUGCAUUUUUCUUUGUGUUUUUAGUUCGCACUUGAGUGGAACGCUGAUGGAAGAGUGAAAGGUCGACGGUCGUCAGUGACAAGCAGGGCGCGGAGGCUGAAACUUGCCGCAUUUCGUCGUUCCCGCGUUUUCGUAUUUUUCAUUGUUUUUUGUUCACACUUUGUGUAAAUGAUCGACGAUGGCUCGGUGGCAAGAGACCACAUUGCCCGCAUCGUGGUGCUCGUGUCCGUCGUUAUUCCGAGUUCGGAAAUGCUGAGACCAAAGCCAAACAUAGAAAACCAGCUGGUCAGGAUUACCCGGUGAGUUCGUUCCUUAUUAUUACUUUUUAUAUUUGCACAUGACAUAUAUGGGGAUUUCGGAGGGGUAGCCUAAGGAAGUUAAAUGAACUGGUUUCCGGGCAAAUGUUCGUGGGGUGGCCAGACUUUGUCACGAGAUAACAAUUAUCAUGUUGUUUUCCGAAGGUCUCCAGUGAAUUUAGCUGACCCUGCUACAACAAACCAUCAGGUAGAUCAUUCCGUUCCGGUAUGACUCUGCAGCCAUAGGUAAUCCUUGCGCUGAUGGUGGGUACACAAUCAUCAUCAUCAUCAUCAUCAUCACUUUCUCAGAAUCAGAAGCUCCUGAAAGGGUCGUCAGUGACAAGCAGGGCGUGGAGGCUGAAACUUGCCGCAUUUCGUCGUUCCCGCGUUUUCGUAUUUUUCUUUGUGUUUUUUGUUCGCACUUUGUGUAAAUGAUCGACGAUGGCUCGGUGGCAAGAGACCACAUUGCCCGCAUCGUGGUGCUCGUGUUCGUCGUUAUUCCGAGUUCGGAAAUGCUAGUAUCCAAGAGAUUGUUUUUCAGUGCGUCGGGUAUUCUCGCUUAUGUAUUUUUUUCGGAUUCUUCGAUGGACGACCGGAGAAUCAACGAGCGGUUUGAACGAGUGCACAUUUAAUAUGGUUGGACCGUUUGCAUGCUGAGACCAAAGCCAAACAUAGAAAACCAGCUGGUCAGGAUUACCCGGUGAGUUCGUUCCUUAUUACUUUUUAUAUUUGAACAUGACAUAUAUGGGGAUUUCGGAGGGGUAGCCUAAGGAAGUUAAAUGAACUGGUUUCCGGGCAAAUGUUCGUGGGGUGGCCAGACUUUGUCACGAGAUAACAAUUAUCAUGUUGUUUUCCGAAGGUCUCCAGUGAAUUUAGCUUACCCUGCUACAACAAACCAUCAGGUAGAUCAUUCCGUUCCGGUAUGACUCUGCAGCCAUAGGUAAUCCUUGCGCUGAUGGUGGGUACACAAUCAUCAUCAUCAUCAUCAUCACUUUC